rnacentral:rRNA from 2 species
AUACAUGCAAGUCGAACGAGCUUCCGUUGAAUGACGUGCUUGCACUGAUUUCAACAAUGAAGCGAGUGGCGAACUGGUGAGUAACACGUGGGAAAUCUGCCCAGAAGCAGGGGAUAACACUUGGAAACAGGUGCUAAUACCGUAUAACAACAAAAUCCGCAUGGAUUUUGUUUGAAAGGUGGCUUCGGCUAUCACUUCUGGAUGAUCCCGCGGCGUAUUAGUUAGUUGGUGAGGUAAAGGCCCACCAAGACGAUGAUACGUAGCCGACCUGAGAGGGUAAUCGGCCACAUUGGGACUGAGACACGGCCCAAACUCCUACGGGAGGCAGCAGUAGGGAAUCUUCCACAAUGGACGAAAGUCUGAUGGAGCAAUGCCGCGUGAGUGAAGAAGGGUUUCGGCUCGUAAAACUCUGUUGUUAAAGAAGAACACCUUUGAGAGUAACUGUUCAAGGGUUGACGGUAUUUAACCAGAAAGCCACGGCUAACUACGUGCCAGCAGCCGCGGUAAUACGUAGGUGGCAAGCGUUGUCCGGAUUUAUUGGGCGUAAAGCGAGCGCAGGCGGUUUUUUAAGUCUGAUGUGAAAGCCUUCGGCUUAACCGGAGAAGUGCAUCG